CCCAUAUGAACCACAUAUCCAAAAUUCACCCAGAUCCGUUCAGUACUUUGGAAGAUACAGUUUAAUGCAGAUUCUGCAGAACAUAUGCAGGCUAAAUAAAAACCAAUCACUGUAUAAUGUGUCCCCUGCUGUAUAGUCCAAAACCACUGCACGAUGUCUCUGUGCACCAAAUACUGGUGAGAUGGCACCGUGUUGAAAAGUCCAAACAGUGUCUGUGAGUUAAAAUGGCCACCAUCCAUUGUUCUCACCAUGUGCUUCAUCCAUUGUUCUCACCAUGUGCUUCAUCCAUUGUUCUCACCAUGUGCCUCUGAUACAUGAAGUGGUGGCCACCCAGUAAUUCCACAGUUUGUCUGGUAGUCUAUCCAGCCGAACCAACAGAUGAAACACAUGGGGAACAGUGCAACAAACAAAGGGAAUCAUAAAAAAUAUGGACAAUAGUCAUAUUUGUGCACAAUCUCCAGUUUUGUCACAGGGCACAAAUAGUGUUUUCAAAUGCCAUAUAUCCCAGGGCCAUAGUCAGAAGGUAGGAGGCGGGCAAGCAGCCCCCUCCAAGAACACGUGGCGAG